ensembl:lncRNA
CUAAAUGUUAUUUAAAUUACUUUAUUUCUGGUAGAAGCUCAGAAGACAAUAAGUUACAGAAUUGGGAUUAAUAAGAUGAUUGAACUUCUGGCUAUGACAGGUCAUUUGCAAUUGCUUUUCAUGAUACAUGCUUAAAGGAAUAGCAUUAUAAAACAUAAAUUGAUCAUCAUCUUACACACAUAUUUGUAUUUCUGAGUUAAAGAGUGAGUAUAAAUUGAGAUGUUGAAUAAUUUAAUCAGUUUCUGUUGUCAGGGACCUAAAAAACGUCAAUCAGGGAAAUAUUAUUUCUCAAAAUCUGUUGCUACAUACUGUAUUUCUUAUGAAGAGUACAAAAUUUUUCACAUAGAGUGUAUUUAAAACUUGGAAUGUUCUUUCUGGAAAAAGCAAUUAUACGAAAUGUAAAUGAACAUGUGCCGUGUGAAUAGACUACAUGUAUUAAUGUUUACUGCUUGAUGAUUUAGUCUUGCACUUAAGGGGUAUUACUGCUGGGGUUAAUAUCUAAUGAAUUAUUCUACAUAUUAUAGCUAAGCUUUCAACUUUAUCAUGUCAAAUAAAACUAUUUUAGUGUACUUUCUCUUAAAAUUUUUUGCAUUUAUAAAAAAAAAAAAAAGUAAUGCAUUUUUCAGAAAUUCUUUCAUGCAUGUAGAAACUUUUUUUUUUAAAUCUGCAUUAACACUGCCACCUUUAAACCUUAACAAUGUGAGGAUACUGACAGCAACUGCUGUAUCCAAAAACAUUACAAUUAUUGCAGUCAACAGCUAAAUACAAAACUGCUAACCAACAGUGUGAGGCAGUAUACUUGAUAAGAUAUUAAACAAACAAACAAACAAACAAAUAUAUAAAUGGACACAUUUUUUAAAAAAAAUUUAACAAGAUGGUCUGCCAAAAAGACUACUAACUACAAGGAUGUCAUUUUCUUUCCUUCUUUCCACAAUUUAUGCUGAAUCACCUCUUGGUGUGUUACUGUAUAUUUUUUUUAUUGUGCAAGAUAAUGAUAAAGUUGAAAGGUAUUGAUUUAAAAAUAAAAGAAGGAAAAAAGUAAUUUUUGAUGCAGGGUAUGUGUAUGUAUUGGCAGUGUAUAGUGUGAGAUGGAAUAUUUCUUUGAUUGCAUGUCACAGUACACAUCUCUGAAACCAAAUCACUGUACAAUUGUCAUUAACAAAAUGUAAAAUUGAACUUAGUCUUUUUGGAAAAAUCAUACACAAAUA